rnacentral:misc_RNA from 1 species
GGCCCCUUUGGCACAAUAAGAUCCUGUAUUGUAGGACAAGUUCAUAAGCAACUAUAAAAUUAAAAAUCUAUUUCCAAAUAUAAAUAGGCAUCCAAAGAGGAAAAUAUGCUGUGUCAUUUAAACUGGAUAACGUGAUAGCAACUUUCUUUUAUCUUUUGGGUAGGUGGGGGAACGUAUCCAUCUUCUUCAUCUCUAUCUUUCAAGUUUCUAGGUUUUUUUAGUUCAACUUAUAUCAGAUGUUUUGGGCACCUAAAAUAUAGUGCCCCUGGGGCUUCCUGUUUGUUUGUAUCAAAAGGAUCAAUGAGUUGGGAUUUCCAUAUUGGGCUCAGUCAUUUUCAAGCAUAGGAUCAUAGAUGAUGAAAAAGGAUGUCAAGAACGAUUUGAAGUUCCUGUAGAGAACAGCCAUGCAGCACCGAUAAGCUUUGCAGAGAACGAGGCUUUCUUUGGAACCUGUAGGUUCAUUUAAGACCCUGCAGGUCCACUGUCUUUCCUAUUCAAUGAUCAGCCCUUUGUUGAUCCUAGAGAGGAACCCUAAAUUCAAAUUCAUCUAUACUGACCUUAGAGAGGAACGAAUUAACUUGUUCCAU